rfam:Bodo saltans strain Lake Konstanz genome assembly, contig: BS_scaffold1352
GCUCGUAUAGUGUAGUGGUUAUCACUCUGGACUUUGAAUCCAGAAACCCUGGUUCGAGUCCAGGUAUGAGCA